rnacentral:misc_RNA from 1 species
GAUGAAGAACGUAGCGAAACGCGAUAGUUAAUGUGAAUUGCAGAAUUCAGUGAAUCAUCGAGUCUUUGAACGCACAUUGCGCCUUUUGGUAUUCCGAGAGGCACGCCUGUCUGAGCGUCAGUAAAACCCUUCGGUUUGACGAUUUAUUGUCUCGCCGGCGUUGGCGGUUUUUGGGUCCUUGUGGCUCGAUUCCGUUUAAACACUGACACGCGGAGAUUAAGGUGUUAAAGGAUUAACCCCUCAUCGAUUAGUAGAAAUAUUUAUCUUUGAAGAUUAUGACUUUAAAACCCCACCCGCUAUACAAAACAGGGAGCUCUUUUUUGAGCACCCGACCUUGAAUUUUGACCUCAGAUCAGACGAGGAUACCCGCUGAACUUAAGCAUAUCAAUAAGCGGAGGA